UAGUGCAGUCAGCAUGGCAUUGGAACACACAGCCUUACAUAUGUCCUCCUGACUGUCCCAAAAUCACCCUAUUUAGAGGGUACAUUGAUUGUGGUGAGCUGUGAUUACACAGGCAUGGUUUUAUCCAUGUACUCCCUCCUCAUUUGUUCUCAACAAUGCCUCUAAAAAAUAGGUAGGCAGAUAUCACUCAGCCAUGUUUAAGGCUUAGUCAUACCUCCCAGACCAGAUCACCUUCCCACCAGGCAGGUUGGGGCCUGAGUGACAUGGAGGAUGAAGCUGCCCCUAAGCACUUGAUUUGAGAUCUGAGAGACUUUUACCAUCUAAAGGACAAGACAUACCAUAACAAACGUUGGCUGUGUGCAAUAUCUCACCUGCUGGGCGUGUAUUGAGGCGAUUCAACAUGUAGAAUUGUUGGGAAAUUACCAGAAAAUGACAGCCGAUGUUCUGUGGUCAGAGGCGAUAGGACGGCCAACCGCUGCCCACAGAUGACAUUCGUUAUG